rnacentral:rRNA from 1 species
UACGUAGGGUGCGAGCGUUGUCCGGAAUUAUUGGGCGUAAAGAGCGUGUAGGCGGCCUGAAAGGUCAGCUGUGAAAACUCGAGGCUCAACCUCGAGACGUCGGUUGAAACCAUCUGGCUAGAGUCCGGAAGAGGAGUGUGGAAUUCCCGGUGUAGCGGUGAAAUGCGCAGAUAUCAGGAGGAACACCGAUGGCGAAGGCAGGUCUCUGGGCCACUACUGACGCUGAGAAGCGAAAGCAUGGGGGAGCGAACAGG